rnacentral:rRNA from 1 species
CCCAGACUCCUACGGGAGGCAGCAGUGGGGGAUAUUGCACAAUGGGGGGAACCCUGAUGCAGCGACGCCGCGUGGGUGAAGGAGCGUUUCGGCGCGUAAAGCCCUAUCGGCAGGGAAGAAGGAGGACGGUACCUGACUAAGAAGCCCCGGCUAACUACGUGCCAGCAGCCGCGGUAAUACGUAGGGGGCAAGCGUUAUCCGGAUUUACUGGGUGUAAAGGGGGCGCGGACGGCAGCGCAAGCCAGGAGUGAAAGCCCGGGGCCCAACCCCGGGACUGCUCUUGGAACUGCGCGGCUGGAGUGCAGGAGGGGCAGGCGGAAUUCCUGGUGUAGCGGUGAAAUGCGUAGAUAUCAGGAGGAACACCGGUGGCGAAGGCGGCCUGCUGGACUGCGACUGACGUUGAGGCCCGAAAGCGUGGGGAGCAAACAGGAUUAGAUACCCUAGUA